rnacentral:tRNA from 16 species
GCAUGAUCUUGCUUGGUAGUGGAUGAAGGCGUCAAACCUGUAGGGGUCGUGGCCCAGUGGUUCAAUUCCACCUUGC